GGGCGUUUCCGGUCGGCUGACGCGUCCGCGCCCCGAGGCCCCGCAGGUACCACCUGGAGCAACAGGGCGGGCAUGGGCGUCAGGCUCCGCCGCACUGGCCGACCUGGUUCCUCAGCACCUGCGGGCCGCGGCUGCUGAGCCCGCCCAAAAAGGUCGUUUCCCUCGCAGUUUCCAACAUGGCAGGCAGGUUUUAUACAUGGAUAAGAAGUCCACAGAACGCAGAAGUUCUGAAGAUGCCAGGACCGGCAGAAGUGGAGGUAAACACAAACACAAGGAAAGAAAGCAAAAGCAAAACCACCACCGAUCCCGACAUAGAUCAUCAACAUCUCAUUCUUCAGAUGACUAUGUGUUUCCUUCUCUUACAUCAUCUUCAGGAAGCCAGACGGAUUCAUGUGUCAAAGUUAUCUUCUGAGAUGUCCAUCAUUCAGUCUGGUCCUCAGUCAUUGAUCCACGCCAUUUGCGACUGAGACGCCUUCAUUCCUGUCUGCCUAGUCCUUUCAGAUCCAUGGUUGGUUGAACCUGGGGAUGUGAAAUCCAUGGAUGCAGAGGGCCGUCUUUAUAGCACUCUGGAUUCAUUUCAAGACCACACACACGUAGAUCAUUUUGAUCAAAAGUGCCCUUGGGAAAUCUCACCUCCUCCAGGAAGCCUUCCAGAGUAAUUCAGAGAAGAGUCAAAAGCUGUUUCGUCUUGUCUGUCUGGAACACCUACAGGUAACCACGCCCCUGCCCCCGUCUCCUUUACGGUGACUACACAUAGAGGCGCUCAGUAAAUAUUUGAUGAAUGAAUGAAUGAAUUCUUAAGAAGUGUAUUGACCACUUACUAUGUGCCUGGCAUAUCUCAGGAGAUACAAACUCAAGUCAGACAUGGACCCCAGCCUCCCAGAACGAACAAUCUAAUGAAUGAUGUCCAUACAUCAUAAACCCCUCAAUUCUCACUCACAGCUUCACUCAGCCCCUGUCCUGUGUGAGCUCCAAGUUGGUGUUCACAUGCACCCACGCAUUAAGGCACAUUUUAAAGUACGUACUCUGUGCCCAGAAGGUGGUGGAGACCAGAGAUGAAAGACCUGGUUCCUGCACUUAAGAAUUUCACAAACUACUGGAGGCGGUGGCCUGGCAGGGAGGGGGGGGAAUGAACAGAAAACCACAUACAUUUCCACCACUGUGUGGUAAGUACAGUGAUGAGGAUUUGGGGGCUGUUCUGAGUGCACAGAGGGUCUGUAACGCUGAGAGGCAGUGAGGCAUGUGGAAGGGAGCCUGGCUUCCACUCCACGUGGGCCACUUGCUUGUAACCUGAGAGAAAACAUAACGCACCUCACCACAGGGUCACGAACAAAUGAGAUAAGGUGGGUAAACUGUGAAGGACCAUUCAAAUGUUAAUUAUUAAAGGAAUUUUCUUGCUGACAAAGCCAUUUCUGUCCAUAGCAAUAUUGUUAGACUGGCUCAUUUGAAUAAAAGAUGUAUUUCUCCCAUCCCUGAAGCUGCACUUUGGAGCAGCUUAAUUUCCUACUGGCUUGAUUUCUUUUCUACUAAGGAGAGGCUAACCUCAAUCCACUCUGCCCUGUGUUCCAGAGCCUGGAUACUUAGUGAGAGCCUCGCAGAGGCCCAGAGCCCCAAGCAAGGGCCAGAAGUAGUUCUAAGCAGUGAGCUUCAGGACUUGGCUACAUGGAGAGGAAUGACUUGUUCCUGGAAUGGAAUUCUCCCCACACACCAAAUGCUAGCUGGGAGGGGAGACGGGGCUAGAGAACUUCCAAGCUUGACUGCAGGGCUUUGGGAAUGUUUCAUUUGUUCCAGCAAGGGAUUUGUAACUGGAACGCAACACAAUCAAAUGUGCUAGAAAACACUCCAACUUCUCUUAGCUUUUGAAUGCCUUUCUCUGUAAUACAAAAACUCUUGGACAUUUUUAGAAACUUAAAAAAAUCAUUUUGCUAUUUUUGCCUUGAUUAUGAUAAAGUCAUGGUUUUUAGUCAAUGUUUUUAUUUUUAGAUUAGCAUCUUAUGAAAUAUAAUAAUGCUAAUUUAAUACAAUAGGUAAUAAUAUUCAUAAGGAAACAGAUACCAAUUUCUCUAACAAAUGAAGCAAGGUGUUAAACUGAUUUAAAAUAACUGUCUAAAAAUGAUUUGUUGUUGAAUAAAUUUUCAAAUCACCUAUUGUGUUUCGUUGGGGAACCACAUGAAUAUUAAGACAGACUGAAAUUUCACUACGUGUUGAAUGAUGGCAUCAAAAACAGAUAAAGUUUUUUCACUACCUACUAUAGAAUUCUUGAGAUUUCCCUCGAGUUAUUUUGAUAAAUUUUAGUGUUUUGUUUCUAAAUGGCAAGAAAAGAGGAGAAGGUUUUCAGUUGCUGUUUGCAUGCGUGUCUCAAAAAAUAAGACACAUAGGGCUUCCCUGGUGGCGCAGUGGUUAAGAAUCUGCCUGCCAAUGCAGGGGACACGGGUUCGAGCCCUGGUCCGGGAAGAUCCCACAUGUCACGGAGCAACUAAGCCCAUGCGCCACAACUACUGAGCCUGCGCUCUAGAACCCACGAGCCACAACUACUGAGCCCGUGUGCUACAACUACUGAAGCCCGCGCACCUAGAGCCCGUGCUCCACAACAGGAGAAGCCACCGCGAUGAGAAGCCCGCGCACCGCAACAAAGAGUAGCCUCGACUCGCCGCAACUAGAGAGAGCCUGCACACAGCAACGAAGACCCAACACAGCC